rnacentral:rRNA from 2 species
GAAUUUAAUAUAAUUUUGUUGAAUAAAUUUUAUUUUAAUUAAAUAUUAAUUAUAUUUAGUUGGGAGGAUUGUUAAAUUUAAUAAACUUUAAUUAAAAAUGAUAAUAUAAAUUAAUAAAUUUUAGAGUGGUUAUUAAAUUAAAUAAGAAUUAAUUACCUUAGGGAUAACAGCGUAAUAUUUUUAGAGAGUUCAUAUUGAUAAAAGUGUUUGC